rnacentral:lncRNA from 1 species
AGAGUUGAGCUGGAAUACUAGUAAUAAUAUUUGGGCUCUUUUGCUAUCGAUUUUUUAGCCGUUAGAUCUACACUUUAAUCAAUUUCAUCCUUUGGAUCAUACUAUUCAACCAACCACCUACUCAACCCUAGGGGGCCCACCACUAAACCCUAAGGGACCACUAUCAUUCUAACUCUAUAAUUUUUCAUAUAAAGGAUAAAAACUCGACAUCAAAAGAGCCAAAAUACUAUUAAUAAUAUUUCUGCCCAAUUUAAUACAUAUAUACAUACAUAUAUAUAGAACUAGGUUGAAAUACUAUCAAUAGCACCAAGCUAUUGGUGCUAUUAGGUUUUCGGCCCUUGGAUAAAAAAAUAUAUGGUUAGGAUGAUGUGGGCCCUCUAGGAUUGAGUGAGUUAUUAUUUGAGUAGUAUAAUCUAACGGGUGAAAAUAGUCAAAGGGUUA